CUGGCGGCGUGCUUAACACAUGCAAGUCGAACGGUGAACACGGAGCUUGCUCUGUGGGAUCAGUGGCGAACGGGUGAGUAACACGUGAGCAACCUGCCCCUGACUCUGGGAUAAGCGCUGGAAACGGCGUCUAAUACUGGAUAUGUGACGUGACCGCAUGGUCUGCGUCUGGAAAGAAUUUCGGUUGGGGAUGGGCUCGCGGCCUAUCAGCUUGUUGGUGAGGUAAUGGCUCACCAAGGCGUCGACGGGUAGCCGGCCUGAGAGGGUGACCGGCCACACUGGGACUGAGACACGGCCCAGACUCCUACGGGAGGCAGCAGUGGGGAAUAUUGCACAAUGGGCGCAAGCCUGAUGCAGCAACGCCGCGUGAGGGACGACGGCCUUCGGGUUGUAAACCUCUUUUAGCAGGGAAGAAGCGAAAGUGACGGUACCUGCAGAAAAAGCGCCGGCUAACUACGUGCCAGCAGCCGCGGUAAUACGUAGGGCGCAAGCGUUAUCCGGAAUUAUUGGGCGUAAAGAGCUCGUAGGCGGUUUGUCGCGUCUGCUGUGAAAUCCGGAGGCUCAACCUCCGGCCUGCAGUGGGUACGGGCAGACUAGAGUGCGGUAGGGGAGAUUGGAAUUCCUGGUGUAGCGGUGGAAUGCGCAGAUAUCAGGAGGAACACCGAUGGCGAAGGCAGAUCUCUGGGCCGUAACUGACGCUGAGGAGCGAAAGGGUGGGGAGCAAACAGGCUUAGAUACCCUGGUAGUCCACCCCGUAAACGUUGGGAACUAGUUGUGGGGUCCAUUCCACGGAUUCCGUGACGCAGCUAACGCAUUAAGUUCCCCGCCUGGGGAGUACGGCCGCAAGGCUAAAACUCAAAGGAAUUGACGGGGACCCGCACAAGCGGCGGAGCAUGCGGAUUAAUUCGAUGCAACGCGAAGAACCUUACCAAGGCUUGACAUAUACGAGAACGGGCCA
rnacentral:rRNA from 1 species